AUUGCUUUCCGUGUAUUGUUGGUGGACUAUACAAAAAAUCAACCUGCUCCACAAUGUAGACAAAUAUCCAUCCCCUGUGCCACCUACAUCAAUCGUUUCUUUGUGCUCUCCUUUUGUCAAUUUGGAAACACGUCUUAUACAUCCUGUACAGUAUUAUAUACCACUUUAGCAUGCUCAGGGAAAAAGAAUCUGUGAUGCAAAGUCAACGUUAAUGGAACUCUGUGAUGCAAAGUCAACGUUAAUGGAACAACCAUGAGUAGUCCAAUAUUUACACACACAUUAUUUUGGAGCAGCAAGCGAUCAUUGUAGUACCAGUGUAUGGGUCUUAGGAGCAUGUAUAGGCUCAUCUCGAAAGAGCGUGCGGAUCAUGGAGGGGCUUUCCCUGUACUCUCCCUGGAUAUGGUCGAAAUGAAAUCGGAUUCCCAGUGUUCCACAUUCUUCAUUAAAGACUGCAUAUGGCCGUAGGAUGUUGCAGUUGUGAAACUAAUGGUUGGUCGCGAAGAACGUUAGAAUUACCUAAAUAUGAAUUCUUACCAAAAUUUGAAGAUUGUCUUUAACUUUUCGUGAAAACUACCACUAGGUUGUGAUUGUCAAACAGCAUGUUGAUUGCAUCUAAAUAUUAUACUCUUAGAAAUAGUUCUAGAACUGGAUUCUUGAGGAGAAAUUCAAAACCUUUAUUUUGUUUGAGACACUGCACUAACAUCUUGACUGGAUUUGCUGGUUUAACCAAUGCGGCUGGUUGUCCAUUGUGAGUUCCUCCACAGCGGCCCGUCAAGGUUUGACUGGGACCAGAACUCUCAAGGUUGGAUCUAUAGGCGAACCAAGGCUAGCCUGCGAACUGUUUUGGAAGACGAAUUAGAAAAACUAUGCGGAAGCGCCAUUAAUCUUUCUUGAAUCAUUGCAGAUUCUUUUAUGUUUAAUGUACUCUUUCUAGUAGGAUUUACAUGUCUUGAAUAAUAAGCUCUUUUCCCCAUACCUAUAGCUCCUACAAUCAUUCUCUUGUAAGUUGUAAAUCUUUGCUUUUUAACUAUUAAUAUGGUAUGAUUUUUGGAGAAUGGCAAAAACGAUUUUAUGGUUG